AGUGAACGCUGGCGGUAGGCCUAACACAUGCAAGUCGAACGGCAGCACAGUAAGAGCUUGCUCUUACGGGUGGCGAGUGGCGGACGGGUGAGGAAUACAUCGGAAUCUACUUUUUCGUGGGGGAUAACGUAGGGAAACUUACGCUAAUACCGCAUACGACCUACGGGUGAAAGCAGGGGAUCUUCGGACCUUGCGCGAUUGAAUGAGCCGAUGUCGGAUUAGCUAGUUGGCGGGGUAAAGGCCCACCAAGGCGACGAUCCGUAGCUGGUCUGAGAGGAUGAUCAGCCACACUGGAACUGAGCCACUGUCCAGACUCCUACGGGAGGCAGCAGUGGGGAAUAUUGGACAAUGGGCGCAAGCCUGAUCCAGCCAUACCGCGUGGGUGAAGAAGGCCUUCGGGUUGUACAGCCCUUUUGUUGGGAAAGAAAAGCAGCAGGUUAAUACCCCGCUGUUCUGACGGUACCCAAAGAAUAAGCACCGGCUAACUUCGUG
rnacentral:rRNA from 1 species